GACGAACGCUGGCGGCGUGCUUAACACAUGCAAGUCGAACGGACAGGCCCUGCUUUUGUGGGGUGCUCGAGUGGCGAACGGGUGAGUAACACGUGAGUAACCUGCCCUUGUCUUUGGGAUAACUUCAGGAAACUGGGGCUAAUACCGGAUAGGAGCUCCUGCUGCACGGUGGGGGUUGGAAAGUUUCGGCGGUUGGGGAUGGACUGGAGGCUUAUCAGCUUCUUGGUGGGGUAGUGGCUUUCGAAGGGUUUGACGGGUAGCCGGCCUUGGAGGUUGACCGGCCACAUUGGGACUACGAUACGGCGCAGACUCCUACGGGCGGCAGCAGUGGGGAAUAUUGCACAAUGGGCGGAAGCCUGAUGCAGCAACGCCGCGUGCGUGAUGCCGGCCUUCGGGUUGUAAACCGCUUUCUCCGGUGACGAAGCGUGAGUGACGGUAAUGGGUAAAGAAGCACCGGCUAACUACGUG
rnacentral:rRNA from 1 species